CUGCACUGCCAAGUGACUGGGCAGCUGUCCUCAUAGCUGUCCAAUCUCAUUCCAGUGCCAGAUAAACCUCAAUCAGCAGAAGGGCUGGGUCACUUAAUGGCUCCUCCCUUUCGAAGACUGAGAACAUUC